rnacentral:rRNA from 1 species
UAACGGCGAGUGAAGCGGCAACAGCUCAAAUUUGAAAUCUGGCGCAAGCCCGAGUUGUAAUUUGUAGAGGAUGCUUCUGGCCAGCGGCCGUUCUAAGUUCCUUGGAACAGGACGUCAUAGAGGGUGAGAAUCCCGUAUGUGACCGGCGCGCAGCCUUUACGUAGCUCCUUCGACGAGUCGAGUUGUUUGGGAAUGCAGCUCUAAAUGGGAGGUAAAUUUCUUCUAAAGCUAAAUACCGGCCAGAGACCGAUAGCGCACAAGUAGAGUGAUCGAAAGAUGAAAAGCACUUUGGAAAGAGAGUUAAAAAGCACGUGAAAUUGUUGAAAGGGAAGCGCUUGCAACCAGACUUCGUAGCGAUGUUCCGCCGGUCUUCUGACCGGUCUACUCAUCGUCGCGAGGCCAACAUCGUCUGGGGCCGCUGGAUAAGACCUAAGGAAUGUAGCUUCCCUCGGGAAGUGUUAUAGCCUGUGGUGAUGCAGCGUGUCUCGGGCGAGGUCCGCGCUUCGGCAAGGAUGUUGGCGUAAUGGUUGUCAGCGGCCCGUCUUGAAACACGGACCAAGGAGUCUAACAUCUAUGCGAGUGUUCGGGUGUCAAACCCCUACGCGUAAUGAAAGUGAACGGAGGUGGGAAGCGCAAGCUGCACCAUCGACCGAUCCUGAUGUCCUCGGAUGGAUUUGAGUAAGAGCAUAGCUGUUGGGACCCGAAAGAUGGUGAACUAUGCCUGAAUAGGGUGAAGCCAGAGGAAACUCUGGUGGAGGCUCGCAGCGGUUCUGACGUGCAAAUCGAUCGUCAAAUUUGGGUAUAGGGGCGAAAGACUAAUCGAACC